rnacentral:rRNA from 1 species
CCUACGGGGAGCAGCAGUGAGGAAUAUUGGUCAAUGGUCGGGAGACUGAACCAGCCAAGCCGCGUGAGGGAUGAAGGUACAGAGUAUCGUAAACCUCUUUUGUCAGGGAACAAAGGCGGGGACGUGUCCCCGGAUGAGUGUACCUGAAGAAAAAGCAUCGGCUAACUCCGUGCCAGCAGCCGCGGUAAUACGGAGGAUGCGAGCGUUAUCCGGUUUUAUUGGGUUUAAAGGGUGCGCAGGCGGUCUGUUAAGUCAGCGGUAAAAGCCCGGGGCUCAACCCCGGCCCGCCGUUGAAACUGGCAGUCUCGAGUUGGAGAGAAGUAUGCGGAAUGCGCGGUGUAGCGGUGAAAUGCAUAGAUAUCGCGCAGAACUCCGAUUGCGAAGGCAGCAUGCCGGCUCCACACUGACGCUGAGGCACGAAAGCGUGGGUAUCGAACAGGAUUAGAUACCCUGGUAGUC